GCGGUAACAGAUCCAGCUUGCUGGAUGCUGACGAGCGGCGGACGGGUGAGUAAUGCAUAGGAAUCUGCCCGAUAGUGGGGGAUAACCUGGGGAAACCCAGGCUAAUACCGCAUACGUCCUACGGGAGAAAGGGGGCUUCGGCUCCCGCUAUCGGAUGAGCCUAUGUCGGAUUAGCUAGUUGGUGAGGUAACGGCUCACCAAGGCCACGAUCCGUAGCUGGUCUGAGAGGAUGAUCAGCCACAUCGGGACUGAGACACGGCCCGAACUCCUACGGGAGGCAGCAGUGGGGAAUAUUGGACAAUGGGGGCAACCCUGAUCCAGCCAUGCCGCGUGUGUGAAGAAGGCCCUCGGGUUGUAAAGCACUUUCAGCGAGGAAGAACGCCUAGCGGUUAAUACCCGCUAGGAAAGACAUCACUCGCAGAAGAAGCACCGGCUAACUCCGUGCCAGCAGCCGCGGUAAUACGGAGGGUGCAAGCGUUAAUCGGAAUUACUGGGCGUAAAGCGCGCGUAUGUGGCUUGAUAAGCCGGUUGUGAAAGCCCCGGGCUCAACCUGGGGAACGGCAUCCGGAACUGUCGAGCUAGAGUGCAGGAGGAGGAAAGGUAGAAAUUCCCGGGUGUAGCGGGUGAAAUGCGUAGAGAUCGGGGA
rnacentral:rRNA from 1 species